CUGGACCGGUGAGAGCAGGAGACUGGGGUGGCUCAGGUCAAAGCAGGUGACCAGGGGAACAGAUGCGAACUACUGUUUAGAACUGGCAGGAAAGUUGUUUACCCAAACUAGAGGCAAGGGGGCACAGAGAACCAGGAAGUUAAACUUUAAAAUGGAGAAUUAAA